rnacentral:sRNA from 1 species
CCUAAGCCACAGAGGAGGGCUCGAUGCUUUAUCUGUGCCUAGGGGGACGUCUCCAGACCAGACCUUGGGCAAGAGUGCCAUGUGAGCACGCACACAGCCCUCCCUCUCCCCAGCUUCUCACUGUCCAUCUACCAAGAAGCCAGCGAGAUUAGAGAAGCCAGGGGUGUGGUUAUGGUGGUGCAGCCAAGAGAGGGGUUUUAUCU